UUUGUAAUCCCUCCGUCCCAUAUUAAGUGUCUCAAAUUUGCUCAAAUAUGGAUGUAUCUAUAUCUAAAAUGUGUUUAGAUACAUGUAAUAUUUUGACACUUAAUGUAGGACGGAGGGAGUAUAUG
rfam:Brachypodium distachyon strain Bd21 chromosome 4, whole genome shotgun sequence.